CGCCUUGCCAGCCCGCUCAGAACUUAAAGGAAUUGACGGGGCCCGCACAAGCGGAGGAGCAUGUGGUUAAUUCGAUGAUACGCGAGGAACCUUACCUGGGCUCGAACGUAAGAUGACUGUAGGUGAAAGCUUACAUCUCUUCGGAGCAUUUUACGAGGUGCUGCAUGGUUGUCGUCAGCUCGUGCCGUGAGGUGUCGGGUUAAGUCCCAUAACGAGCGCAACCCCUACCUUUAGUUGCCAUCAGGUAAUGCUGGGGACUCUAAAGGAACUGCCUACGCAAGUAGUGAGGAAGGCGGGGAUGACGUCAAAUCAGCACGGCCCUUACGUCCAGGGCUACACACGUGCUACAAUGGCCGAUACAGAGGGCAGCUACCUGGUGACAGGAUGCAAAUCUCCAAAGUCGGUCUCAGUUCGGAUCGGAGUCUGCAACCCGACUCCGUGAAGUUGGAUUCGCUAGUAAUCGCGCAUCAGCCAUGGCGCGGUGAAUACGUUCCCGGGCCUU
rnacentral:rRNA from 1 species